AGUGAACGCUGGCGGUAGGCCUAACACAUGCAAGUCGAACGGCAGCACAGUAAGAGCUUGCUCUUACGGGUGGCGAGUGGCGGACGGGUGAGGAAUACAUCGGAAUCUACUUUUUCGUGGGGGAUAACGUAGGGAAACUUACGCUAAUACCGCAUACGACCUACGGGUGAAAGCAGGGGAUCUUCGGACCUUGCGCGAUUGAAUGAGCCGAUGUCGGAUUAGCUAGUUGGCGGGGUAAAGGCCCACCAAGGCGACGAUCCGUAGCUGGUCUGAGAGGAUGAUCAGCCACACUGGAACUGAGACACGGUCCAGACUCCUACGGGAGGCAGCAGUGUGGAAUAUUGGACAAUGGGCGCAAGCCUGAUCCAGCCAUACCGCGUGAGUGAAGAAGGCCUUCGGGUUGUAAAGCCCUUUUGUUGGGAAAGAAAAGCAGCAGGUUAAUACCCCGCUGUUCUGACGGUACCCAAAGAAUAAGCACCGGCUAACUUCGUG
rnacentral:rRNA from 1 species